CCUACGGGUGGCAGCAGUGGGGAAUAUUGGGCAAUGGGCGCAAGCCUGACCCAGCAACGCCGCGUGAAGGAAGAAGGCUUUCGGGUUGUAAACUUCUUUUGUCAGGGACGAAGCAAGUGACGGUACCCUGAAAACAAGCCACGGCUAACUACGUGCCAGCAGCCGCGGUAAUACGUAGGUGGCAAGCGUUGUCCGGAUUUACGGGGUGUAAAGGGCGUGUAGCCGGGAAGGCAAGUCAGAUGUGAAAUCCGGAGGCUCAACCUCCGAAUUGCAUUUGAAACUGUUUGUCUUGAGUACUGGAGAGGCAGACGGAAUUCCGUGUGUAGCGGUGAAAUGCGUAGAUAUAGGGAGGAACACCAGUGGCGAAGGCGGUCUGCUGGACAGCAACUGACGGUGAGGCGCGAAAGCGUGGGGAGCAAACAGGAUUAGAUACCCUUGUAGUC
rnacentral:rRNA from 1 species